rnacentral:rRNA from 1 species
UACGUAGGGUGCGAGCGUUAAUCGGAAUUACUGGGCGUAAAGCGUGCGCAGGCGGUGAUGUAAGACAGAUGUGAAAUCCCCGGGCUCAACCUGGGAACUGCAUUUGUGACUGCAUCGCUGGAGUGCGGCAGAGGGGGAUGGAAUUCCGCGUGUAGCAGUGAAAUGCGUAGAUAUGCGGAGGAACACCGAUGGCGAAGGCAAUCCCCUGGGCCUGCACUGACGCUCAUGCACAAAAGCGUGGGGAGCAAACAGG